GGGCGCGUAGCUCAGCUGGUCAGAGCGCGCGGUUCACAUCCGCGAGGCCAUAGGUUCGAGUCCUAUCGCGCCCA
rnacentral:tRNA from 1 species